CUCUAGGCCUCAGGUCUUCUUACAUAAAAUGAGAAGGUAGGGUCAGAAUAUUCCAGAAGAUCCUAAAGGGGCACACUUGCUGUGUCUUGUGCCACUUCAGGUUCUAAUAGUCACUGAGACUUCCCAAGAAUCAAAAGUAGCUCUCCCAUCUAUCCUCCUCUCCCCAGUUCUCAGGUCAGCCUCCAGCUCACCUAGAAUGCAGCUGCUCACCCAAGUUUUCCUGAAUCCCCUCCCCGCCUUCUCCCCUCCAGCCCCUCUCUCUAACCUUUCCAAUUCUUUAUUUCCUCUAAUGUUGUCUGGAGCUCCAGGAUAAUCAUUGCAGGAGAAGCAAUCAGCUCAGCCUUCGACAGGACAUCAAGACAGACAGGCAAGCUGGGGCAUUAGGCUGUCAGUUUCUGGGCCCUUCCAAAUGUUAGAACAAUUUUGGUGAAUUACAAGCAAUAGAAAAUUUCUUUGCGUGCUCAUUAGGUGCAAGGCAGGAGUGAUGAUGAAUGUUUGGAAGCGGAGGCAGAGGCAGGCUUUCCUGGAGCCAAAAGCCCACCUUCCAGAUCUUCCAGUGAUGGCUCCCCUAACUCUCACUCUUCUGGAGAAAGCCCAAGGUGCCCCCAGGGUUUGGAGAAUGGAGAUAAUGGGCCCUGGACAAUUCAUUGUGCCUCUUUAGAGCACCCACUCCUUAAGUUCAGUCCUAGGGGUAAGCGAAACACACUAUUCAGCUGCUUAGUACAGUGAGGGAAAUGCACACAGAAAUGAUACAAAAGAAAACAGACCAUGGGAGAAAGAAGAGAGAGAGACGGAUCCUGACCAUUCUGACCACUUAAGUGAACAGGGUCUUUUUGUUUGUUUGUUUGUUUUUGUUUUGUAGGGCAACACCUGAGGCAUAUGGAUGUCCCCAGGCUAGGGGCCAAAUCAGAGCCACAGCUGCCAGCCUACACCACUGCCACAGCAACACGGGAUCUGAGCCACGUCUACAACCUACAAAAGAGCUCAUGGCAAUGACGGAUCUUUAACCCACUGAGCGAGGCCAGGGAUUGAACCCACAACCUCAUGGUUCCUAGUCAGAUUCAUUUCCACUGUGCUACGAUGGGAACCCCUGAAGAGGGUCUUAAAGAAUGACUUGAAUUUUAAAAUCCAAUCUUUUUUUUUUUUUUUUUUUUUUUUUUUGGUCUUUUUAGAGCUUCACUCAUGGUGUAUGGAGGUUCCCAGGCUAGGGGUCAGACUGGAGCUGUAGCUGCUGGCCUAUGCCACAGCCAAUGCAACAUGGGAUCCAAGCCUCAUCUGUGACCUACACCACAGCUCACGGCAACACCAGAUUCCCUAACCCACUGAGCGGGAUUAGGGAUGGAACCCAUGUCCUCAUGGAUACUAGUCGGGUUUGUUACCACGGAGCCACAACAGGAUCUCCUUAAUAUACACUCUUACUCCAUUAUUAACCAUAAAAAGUAUGGUAACAACAGCUAACACAUAUAAUGCUUACAUAAUGCUAUUAUGUUCAAGCUUUGUAACUAUGAGCAUUGCACUUAAGUAAUAACUUAAAGAGGUUAAGUAAUAACCUAAAGAGGUUAAGUAAUAACCUAAAGAAUUACCCCCCAAUGCUUCCAAGUAGGGAUACCAAAAAGGUGUAUAAAUGGGGUAUUUUCCAUAGCCUUUGUUGGGAAAAUAAGUGAGGACAGAUGAGUAGAAGGAGAGUCAGCCAAAAGGAUCAGCAUUCGCUUUCAGGCCCACUAGUCUCAACUCAGGUGGCUACUCAGGUGACUUGGGAGAAUUCCUUAGACUUUCUGAGCUACAGACCCUUAGAGGAGUUAGCAUGGUCCCUGGUGCUUAGGAGCAGCAUCUAGAAAUAGUGGCAAGUGGAAGUCAGUGGCAGAAAACUAGACAUGCAUCCAUUCUAUCACUCACAGCAUUCACUGAGCACCUGCUGUGGGGCCAGCACCAGGUUAAAUGUUGUGGGAGAAAGAUAAAUGAGAUGAAAUCCUUGCUCUUGUGGGAAAUGCAGUGUAGUUGAGACUGUGUGUACAUAUUAAUCUCUUUGCUUGCUCCCAGACUCAGGGCCCCCCAAAUUCUUUCAAUUGGACCCUGAGGGUCUCUCCACUCCCCGACUCCCCAGGCUGCACAUGUAGGUAUAAAUCAUCCUCUGCGGAAUGUAAAACAAAGAUUUCUGCAAAUACUGCCAAAGGCAAAAAGAGUCUGACAUACAUCAGCAGAACUAGAUUUCCUGAUUGCAGCAACCAUGUAAAAGAUAGAAGGAUGAAGAAAGGGUGAGAAGGGACCAUGAGGACUAAAGAGGGUGGUGGUGUGGAGAUUGCUUGGAGGAAGAAAAGGACCUUGUACCUAAGGUGACAGGCUCUGUAGGAACACCAACCGACUCAGCAGCACCCAAGGGGAUUCCACUGACCAGGGUUCAGCCAUUGGUCAUCUGGCUCACAGUGGCAAUGGUCUGUGCCCUUCGGAUUAUGCCUCUGAUUGUCCCAUCCCCUGAAAACCCACCCAUGACCCCAGGAAUUUGACAUGUUCAAGGUCCUCGGAGCAGAGGAUGGGAUGAUCAUAAACUGCAAGAAAAUGAAGGUGGGGUUAGAAGACACCAAACUGCAAUUUUCUCAUUUUGCUCUUUGAAGAGGAAGUCAGAGAGAUGAAAGCAUGGAGAUGUGGGUGCUAUAAUAGAACCUGUUCAGUGUUCAAAGUCACGAAGGAGAAUGAGGCCAGUUCUACCACCAGAGACAAGGGGAUGGGGCCAGGAAUAACUUUGUAAAUGAAGAGACCUUCCAAUGAAAUCCUGGCCUCAACCACCAAGUCUCAGGGCGGAGAGAAGCAAGACUUGGGCUUCAGUUUAAGGCCCUAGGCCAAGCUGGAGGUACCAAAUAGAAACAUGAUUUGGGAUAGAAAACAGGACCCCUCAGAUCUGGGCCAGUGGAGGGAGUAGGACUGAAUCCCAGAACAUAAGGCUGGGGCCCCUCUUGCAUCAUAUCAAGGACAGUCCUAGCCCUUUUGGCAGCAUGAAGUCAUAGGUGGGGCUCUGGGGGCACCAGCUUGGGAGUGAGACAGGAUCCAGAAGGUAGGGAGCACCUGAUACAUAAGAAUGGAUGUAAAAAUUUUGCACAUGAUCCCAAAGCCAAGUGCCCAAGCCCAAGAUGAAAGAAAUACAGGGGAAAAGAAAUUUAUAUGAAAAAGACUUAAAAGAGAUGACUACAAGAAGCCAACCCCAAUUUCAACCUAGAUUUGUUACAGUUGUCCAUAGUGCACGACAGUCAGAUUUAUAGUCAGGAUUUCAUAGAAGCAUCUUUUUAAUCUGGUAGAAGGAACAGGAAACUGAAGGUGCACGGACCAGUGGCUCAAUAGAAAUAAAAACUCAGGCUAUGAAAUCAGACAAACAUGAAUUCGAAUCUGGACUGAAGCAUUUUAGUUGUUAUGCAAGCUGGGGUGAGCUAUUUUUCUGCUCUAAGCCUUGGUCUCCUCAAUGGAAAAGGUUCCUUGGAAGAUUAGAGAAAAUAGAUACAAAGCAACUGAUAGAAUGCCUGACUCAAAAUAGGUGGCUCAAAAUAUAGUAGCCUUUAAUGAUGAUGAAGGUGAUAAUGAUGGAGGUGAGGUAGCAGUGGUGGUGAUGGUGUGGUCAUGAUGGUGAUGAUGAUAAUGAUGGUGGUAGUGGUGGUGGUGAUGGUGGUGAUGGUGGUGGUGGUAGUUAUGGCGAUGAUGAUAAUGACAAUGGUGGUGGUGGUGGUAAUGGUGGUGGUAGUUGUGAUGAUGGUGAUGGUGGUAUUAAGGGUGGUGGUGAUGGUGGUGGUGGUGAUGGUGAUGAUGUUUGUGGAGGUAGUGGUGAUGGUGAUGAUGAUGGUGAUGGUGGUGAUGGUGAUAAUGGUGGUGGUAGUGGUGGUGAUGAUGAUGGUGGUGGUGGUAGUAUUGGUGAUGGUGGUGGUGAUGAUGAUGAUAGCAGUGGUGGUGGGAGGGGUUGUGAUGAUGAUGGUGGUGAUGGUAGUAGUGGUGAUGGUGAUAAUGGUGGUGGUAGUAGUGGUGGUGAUGAUGGUGGUGGUGGUAGUAUUGGUGAUGGUGGUGGUGAUGGUGAUAAUGUGGUGGUGGUGGUGGUGAUGAUGGUGGUGGUGGUAGUAUUGGU
rnacentral:lncRNA from 9 species